CUCAGUCGAACCAUUUAGCCUUAAUACAAAAAGAAAAACACACAUUUUUUUUAGCUUAUUAACUAAAACGCUGUAACAUAAAUAAAAAUUAAUAAACAUCUGACAAUGAACAAAAAAUACCAUCUCUCACACAUUCAAUCCAAACCCUAACAAAAAAAAAAAAAAAAAAAAACCUGUGGCUAUUUCAGACCUUGGUUUGCCGUGUCCUGGGUGGGAGGAGCUGUGGUGGCACCAGGGAACAAAACUCCAGGAAUAAAAAAACUCCCUGAAACAGCAGCAAACCCCACCUGAGCCGCCCAGCACGCUCUGAGCUGGGCCAAACCACCCUGGCACCUCCAUUUCCCCAAUUAAUCCCCCUCCUAACGAGCCGGGCUGCUUCGGGGAAGGGAAGGGAAGGGAAGGGGGUGACAGACGCCGGCCCCGACCCAAAGCACCAGGGAGCUGCACCCAGAUGUCACAGGGACACACAGAGGGGCCUGGCUGCUCAUCCCUCACCAAAAUCACCCACAGAGGGGGCAGAGAGGAUUCGGGGUGCAGGAGGGGCGGGGGUGGGACUGGGAGACCCCCUGGUCCUCCCCACGCGGCAGAGGAGGAUGAGGGAGGAGGAUUUGGUCCAGCUCUGCUCUGUCCACACCGUGGGUGCCACUCGGGAGGGGCUGAGGAAGAGGAGGGGAGGGUUUGGGAUGGUUUGGGAUGGAGGGGAGAUCUUUUCAGUGUGGGAAAACAGGACUGGGCACUGAGGGAUGUGUCUCCGAGGUGGGAACACCAAACUGGGCACUGAGGGAUGUGUCUCCAAGGUGGGAACACCAAACUGGGCACUGAGGGAUGUGUCUCCAAGGUGGGAACACCAAACUGGGCACUGAGGGAUGUGUCUCCAAGGUGGGAACACCAAACUGGGCACUGAGGGAUGUGUCUCCAAGGUGGGAACACCAAACUGGGCACUGAGGGAUGUGUCUCCAAGGUGGGAACACCAAACUGGGCACUGAGGGAUGUGUCUCCAAGGUGGGAACACCAAACUGGGCACUGAGGGAUGUGUCUCCAAGGUGGGAACACCAAACUGGGCACUGAGGGAUGUGUCUCCAAGGUGGGAACACCAAACUGGGCACUGAGGGAUGUGUCUCCAAGGUGGGAACACCAAACUGGGCACUGAGGGAUGUGUCUCCAAGGUGGGAACACCAAACUGGGCACUGAGGGAUGUGUCUCCAAGGUGGGAACACCAAACUGGGCACUGAGGGAUGUGUCUCCAAGGUGGGAACACCAAACUGGGCACUGAGGGAUGUGUCUCCAAGGUGGGAACACCAAACUGGGCACUGAGGGAUGUGUCUCCAAGGUGGGAACACCAAACUGGGCACUGAGGGAUGUGUCUCCAAGGUGGGAACACCAAACUGGGCACUGAGGGAUGUGUCUCCAAGGUGGGAACACCAAACUGGGCACUGAGGGAUGUGUCUCCAAGGUGGGAACACCAAACUGGGCACUGAGGGAUGUGUCUCCAAGGUGGGAACACCAAACUGGGCACUGAGGGAUGUGUCUCCAAGGUGGGAACACCAAACUGGGCACUGAGGGAUGUGUCUCCAAGGUGGGAACACCAAACUGGGCACUCAUGGGUGUCCUUCAAACAUGGAAACACUGAACUGAGCACUGAUCAACCCUAACAUGGGAACACCACACUGGGCACUGCUGGAUGCCCCUCCAAGAUGGGAAUACCAAAUUGGGAACUCAUGGAUAUCCCUCAAACGUAGGAGCACAGAACUGGGCACUGCUGGAUGCCCCUCAAAUGUGGAAAGACUGAACUGGGCACAGAUCAAUGCCUCCCUAACAUGGGAACACCAAACUGGGCA
ensembl:lncRNA